rfam:Alkalibacterium sp. 20 contig14, whole genome shotgun sequence.
CCACAACUACAACCGCUCGUAUAUAAGUUUAAAGUAGACUUCUGCUACUUAUAACGGCGAGUCUAAGUGCUUAA